rnacentral:tRNA from 1 species
GGGGUCGUAGCUCAGCUGGAUAGAGCAAGUGAUUCCUAAUUACUAGGUCGGAGGUUCGACUCCUCUCGAUCCCACCA